CCUACGGGUGGCAGCAGUGGGGAAUAUUGGGCAAUGGGCGCAAGCCUGACCCAGCAACGCCGCGUGAAGGAAGAAGGCCCUCGGGUUGUAAACUUCUUUUAACAGGGACGAAGAAAGUGACGGUACCUGCUGAAUAAGCCACGGCUAACUACGUGCCAGCAGCCGCGGGAAUACGUAGGUGGCAAGCGUUAUCCGGAUUUACUGGGUGUAAAGGGCGUGUAGGCGGGAGAGCAAGUCAGACGUGAAAUUCCAGGGCUCAACCCUGGAACUGCGUUUGAAAAUGUUCUUCUUGAGUGAUGGAGAGGCAGGCGGAAUUCCGUGUGUAGCGGUGAAAUGCGUAGAUAUACGGAGGAACACCAGUGGCGAAGGCGGCCUGCUGGACAUUAACUGACGCUGAGGCGCGAAAGCGUGGGGAGCAAACAGGAUUAGAUACCCUUGUAGUC
rnacentral:rRNA from 1 species